rnacentral:misc_RNA from 1 species
UCCGGCUUAACGCCGGCAGUCUCGCUAGAGUCCCCAGCAUGACCUGUUGGCAACUAACGACAGGGGUUUCGCUCGUUAAGGGACUUAACCCGACACUUCACAGCACGAGCUGACGACAGCCAUGCAACACCUGUGCAAGUUUCACCCCGAAGGGCAGCUGACCUGAGUUAUCCCCUGGCAGCAUCCAAGCAUGUCAAACCCGGGUAAGGUUCUUCGCGUUGCUUCGAAUUAAGCCACAUGCUCCACCGCUUGUGUGAGCCCCCGUCAAUUCCUUUGAGUUUUAGCCUUGCGGCCGUACUCCCCAGGCGGCACACUUAGCACUUUUGCUUCGGCGCCGAGGACGUCAGAGUCUCCGGCACCUAGUGUGCAUCGUUUACGGCGUGGACUAC